UUUAACGGCCGCGGUAUUCUGACCGUGCAAAGGUAGCGCAAUCACUUGUCUUUUAAAUAAAGACCUGUAUGAAUGGCAUAACGAGGGCUUAACUGUCUCCUUUUUCCCAUCAAUGAAAUUGAUCAUCUCGUGCAGAAGCGAGAAUGCAACCAUAAGACGAGAAGACCCUAUGGAUCUUUAGCCGCAAGAGUAGAACACCCUCAAACUACUUAAACAACAAGUAGGACCCGUUGUAACCUGCUCAAGUGGCUUUGGUUGGGGCGACCACGGAGUAUAAAUUAACCUCCACAAGGAAUAAGGAAACCUCUUUAAUCCAAGGGCGACAGCCCUAGGAAAUAUAAUUUCUAACCCCCCGAUCCGGCAAGGCCGAUUAAUGGACUGAGUUACCCUAGGGAUAACAGCGCAAUCCUCUUUUAGAGCCCAUAUCGACAAGGGGGUUUACCACCUCGAUGUUGGAUCAGGACAUCCUAAU
rnacentral:rRNA from 1 species